AGUGAACGCUGGCGGUAGGCCUAACACAUGCAAGUCGAACGGCAGCACAGUAAGAGCUUGCUCUUUCGGGUGGCGAGUGGCGGACGGGUGAGGAAUACAUCGGAAUCUACUUUUUCGUGGGGGAUAACGUAGGGAAACUUACGCUAAUAACGCAUACGACCUACGGGUGAAAGCAGGCGAUCUUCGGACCUUGCGCGAUUGAAUGAGCCGAUGUAGGAUUAGCUAGUUGGCGGGGUAAAGGCCCACCACGGCUACGAUCCGUAGCUGGUACGAGAGGAUGAUCAGCCACACUGGAACUGAGACACGGCCCAGACUCCGACGGUGGGCAGCAGUGGGGAAUAUUGGACAAUGGGGGAAUGCCUGAUCCAGCCAUACCGGGGGGGGGAAGAAGGCGUACGGGCUGGUAAGCCCUGUUGGUGUGAAAGAAGAGCAGCAGGUUAAUACCCCGCGGUACUGACGGUACCGAAAGAAUAAGCACCGGCUAACUCCGUG
rnacentral:rRNA from 1 species